CACUCUCCUCCCUACAAGACCAAACUGGACGGUGCUGGAGCCCGAAGGACGUUUUGCCAGAACCGCGGAGAAAAGGGAACAGCCCUAGCUCCAGUUUGUUCCGCACAGUCAUGAAGUACAAACACCCAUUUCUUCUACCCUCCACCCCCAGCCAACACUAUGAUACAGUCUUGCAUUUAUUGUCUAUUUUGUUUCAUGGCCAUGGAAUGAUUAAUAGAUUAAUCUCUGGUCUCUGAAUGGAUAUGCAAUCGCAUCCUUUAAUGUGGCCAGGACCAACCCCUCUUCUAUCAAGGCAUUUAUGACCUCCUGAACCCAGCUGCUUGUUUACCCUCAGUUUGAUAUUAUCAGUCAAGACGGGCCUGGCUCCAUGCUUUGGGGGGCCCUGGACAAAUAAUCCAUAGUGGCCCACCGCGUCUUACCGGAUGAUAUCUGCAGUGCUGAGCGGACGUCUGGGCCUGCUCAGUAGUACCAGCCACUAUAUGUGGAGCUCAACAUGGUGCAGUUGUCACCCAGCCGUGCUGCAUUAGCCUCAGUGACAGCUCAGUCAGUCCAACAACCUUGGAGCUGCAGCAUUUGCCCCACCAUGCUGGACCUGAACCAAGAAGGACAAGAGGCAAGAAGACAUGUGGUAGGCAGCCUCCCAAAUGUGGCCCACCAGGCCUCUUUAUCAGGCCCUUGAGACUUCCACCUCCCUUCAUCCUAAACCCCACCCCUCACUGGCCCUCCUUCAUGCCUUUGUCAAGUGCUUUUGCCUCACUGGAAAGUGUCCUUGAACUGUGAUAAUGCCUCUGGCUUGCCUAAGUGGAGAACUGACUUCUGUAUGGCUGGAAUGCAGCCUGCUGUACAAAGAUCACCCAUUCAACAUUUCUAAUGGGGGCUUCAAGACAAACCUCUAGGCACCGGAAAUAUUUGGAGGGCCUCUCUAUAGAGAUGUAGUGUGAAAUGGUAUGGUUUCUGGUGGUCUCGGACAAGUUAACCAUAAAGUGCAAUUAUUUAGGGGUCAAAUUUUUAAAAAGACAAAUUUUAUACUAUUUGGUUUGACUAUUGAAUAUAUAGCAAAAUUUUAAAAUCCUGAUAGAAUACCAGCACAAUGUGUACUUACAUGGAACCGAUAAGCCAGCCACUUCUUCUCUUCAGAGUCUGGAUGCACCUGAUGGUCAUAAUUCAUCAGACAUUUCUGCAAAGCAACAAACAGAUGACAAAGAUGUUGGUUUAAUAAUUCUGUGUUUUAUUUUUUAUUUCAUUAAUACUUGUUGUUUUCAUUAAUGUAUGCAUUAUGAAAAGUGGUCCUAGAAACACGACUGCUCUUCUAAAUUCCACAAGGGGAGCUCUUCCUCUUCUUCCACUGGAGUCUCUCAGGAAUGCUUUCCUAGUAUUCUCCCUCCUACACUGUUUUGGCUGACCUUGUCCAAUCCCAUGACUUUCAAUGCCACCUAUAUGCUUACAACAGCCAGCUAGACCUCUGUAUCUCAGACCUUCCCCCCACCAUCUCUUCUCUAGCUGCCUAUGUGCUCUUUCUGCUUGGAUGUCCAAGUCUGAACUUCUCAAAUUUCCCCCUAAGCCUUCUCCUCCUUAAAUAGUCUCCGUGUCCAUUAACAGUGUCACCAUCUACCCCAGGGAUUGCCUCUGGAGAUUGUUAGGCUACAACUCCCAUCAUCCCUGACCAUUGGCCAUGCUGGUGGGGGCUGAUGGAGGGCACCAUAUUCUCUAUCUCUGAUCUGUCCUAUUGAUCAGGCAUAGAGUUUUGGCCUUAUCUUGAACCAUUCUCUCUCCUUUCCUCCCUGUGUACAGUCCAUUGCUAAGCCAUGUAACUUCUCGCUUU